UAUAUUUAAAAGGGACCUAAUGGAAAAAAGACAAGCUAAACUCUGUGCCAACCCACCCCGGGAAUACAGAAGUAGCGAGACGUUAUCUGGGAAUUAAUGGGGCGUAAAAGGGGGACGUAGGGUGUUUUUAUUAAGUCAGGGGUUAAAGCACGGAGCUCAACCCCCGGAACUGCCUUGGAAACUGGAAAACUAGAAUUUUAAAGAGGUCAGUGGAAUUCCAAGUGAAGCGGUGAAAUUCGAAGAUAUUGGGAAGAACCCCAAUGGCGAAGGCGACUGACUGGUAAGAUAUUGACGCUAAGGGUUGAAAGCGUGGGGAGCGAACAGG
rnacentral:rRNA from 2 species